rnacentral:rRNA from 1 species
GACGAACGCUGGCGGCGUGCCUAAUACAUGCAAGUUGAGCGCUGAAGGUUGGUACUUGUACCAACUGGAUGAGCAGCGAACGGGUGAGUAACGCGUGGGGAAUCUGCCUUUGAGCGGGGGACAACAUUUGGAAACGAAUGCUAAUACCGCAUAAAAACUUUAAACACAAGUUUUAAGUUUGAAAGAUGCAAUUGCAUCACUCAAAGAUGAUCCCGCGUUGUAUUAGCUAGUUGGUGAGGUAAAGGCUCACCAAGGCGAUGAUACAUAGCCGACCUGAGAGGGGGAUAGGCCACAUUGGGACUGAGACACGGCCCAAACUCCUACGGGAGGCAGCAGUAGGGAAUCUUCGGCAAUGGACGAAAGUCUGACCGGGCAACGCCGCGGGAGUGAAGAAGGUUUUCGGAUCGUAAAACUCUGUUGGUAGAGAAGAACGUUGGUGAGAGUGGAAAGCUCAUCAAGUGACGGUAACUACCCAGAAAGGGACGGCUAACUACGUG